CCUCUUUGAAGCAGCCACCUUUCCUUUUGCCAACAUGAGGACCAAGGGACUAAGAACCAUCCAAGUAUGCAGGAAAGGUCAUGGAAAGGCAGUUUAAUUAUUGCGUAUGCAGCGAUGCACCCAGCCCACAUUCCCAACAAACGGAUGGAUUUUGGUUCAGUCUAAAGGGGACUCCUGAGCCCAAGGAAUUUCAGGUCUCAGGAAGCAGUUGGUAAUAAUUUCAUAGGUGGUGGUGAAUUGGGCCCUGAAAUUACACUGGGAAUAUGGCCAGUUUUACAGCACUUCAAGAAGAAGAAGAAGAAGAAGA